GCCGGCGUAGCUCAGGCGGAAGAGCAACUGACUUGUAAUCAGUAGGUCAUGGGUUCGAGUCCCAUCGCCGGCU
rnacentral:tRNA from 1 species